CAGUCGUGAGGAAGGUAGUGUAGUUAAUAGCUGCAGUAUUUGACGUUAGCGACAGAAGAAGCACCGGCUAACUCCGUGCCAGCAGCCGCGGUAAUACGGAGGGUGCGAGCGUUAAUCGGAAUUACUGGGCGUAAAGCGCAUGCAGGUGGUUUGUUAAGUUCAGAUGUGAAAGACCCGGGGCGUCAACCUCGGAAUAGCAUUUGAAACUAGGCAGACUAGAGUACUGUAGAGGGGGUAGGAAUUUCAGGUGUAGCGGUGAAAUAGCGUAGAGAUCUGAAGGAAUACCGGUGGCGAAGGCGGCCCCCUCGGACAGAUACUGACACUCAGAUGCGAAAGCGUGGGGAGCAAACAGGAUUAGAUACCCUGGUAG
rnacentral:rRNA from 1 species